rnacentral:misc_RNA from 1 species
CGACGCCCUUGUUGGUGAGAACGCGCUCGGUGUUGCGCAGGUUGCGCAUCACAAGCCGGGUGUCGAAUUCGGUCGCUUUGAGCAGCGCCUGCUUCACGUUGUCAUGCACCGGGGCUUCCUUGGUGGCGAUGAAGCGGGUGCCCAUGUUCAUGCCCUGCGCGCCCAUCGCCAGCGCCGCAACGAGGCUGCGCGCGUCGGCCAUGCCGCCGGAGGCGACGAACGGAAUCGUCAGUUCUUCUUCCGCGCGCGGCAGCAGGAUCAUGUUCGGCAUGUCGUCUUCGCCGGGAUGACCGCCGCAUUCGAAACCGUCGACGCUGACCG